rnacentral:tRNA from 1 species
GCUGUCAGGCGCUUGGUGCGCAGGCUGGGUUGUGUCCCCGGUCGGUUGGGUUCGAAACCUAAUGACAGUGCCA